GGCUUGUCUCUCAUGGGGCUCUGUGGGGGGGAGGGUUUGGGGGGAGCUCCCUUUUCUCCUCAGCCAGGGUUGGAGGCCAAGAUCAGCCCCCAAGGAUCAUUGUCAGGGCUGCCAUGAACUGGCAGCUUUGUUUUCCUGCCUCAGACAUCU
rnacentral:snoRNA from 1 species